UCUACCGUUAUAUGAGUUUGCAAAGAUCAGAUAAGAAGAAGGUUGUGGUGGUAUUGGUUGGUUCACCUUGUUUUGGAUGGGGUAGAGAGUCAAUGGUGGUGUCUAAAGUAUGGUGAGGAGGUUUUCCAUAAAGAAAAAUGAUGAGAAAUAGAUGAAAAGGAAAGGGAAAAUAAGAAAGAUUGGAGAGGAAGGCCCUCUCCUACUUUUCUUUUCAUUUUUUUAUCUCCAAGCCUAUGGUCAUGAUAGCCUAUUUGUUUACGUAGCUAUAGGGUGUGGGGGAUGUGACAAGUAGGUCCCUUGAUAAGACUUUAUAUGUAUAAUAAUAUUAUAUUUGUAUAACAAUUGCCCCCAUUUGAGGGAGAGGUUAUAAAAUGAUCGUAUUUAAGACAAAAGUAUGAGUGAAGCCUUUUUGUUU
rnacentral:lncRNA from 1 species